UUGGAAUUGCUGUCUAAAAAGGACUUAAAAAGCCAUUUUUGACACAAAUUGCAAGAACACAGGCUUAAGCCUGGCAGUAUUUGUCACUGGAUCGAGUUGACAGUUUACAGGCUUAUGUAUGAUCAGCCAUAGUCUACCAGUCGCUAUAGUCGAGAUCGCGCUACGACGCUAACCAACAACACCAUAAUAUAAUAAUCCAUAAGCAUUCAACCAAAACUUAGCCUUAUUUGAUAAUAAAAAAGAUAAAAAAUCCAUAGUUAGGUCGCCUAAAAUUGUUAAAUGUAUAAUCAUCUAUCAAUUACUAUAGCCACUAAUUACUAGCCCUACUUCCAUUACCAUUAACCAACAGGCCCGUAAUAAUUAUUUGUGUAAUUAUUAAUUAUUCAAAAAAUGGCCUGAUUUUAUAGGAAACAAAUUUGUUUAAAGCUAAAAUAUUCACGAAUAAGUGACAGUAGCGGCUGAAAUUUUCUAUGCAGCUUAUUUCCGCUGGUACCUAAAGCCACGAAUGAAUAUUCAAUGGGGGUUGCUAUUUCGAGUAGGAUCACGAAGUGCGGAUUUUUCUCGGCGAGUUCGUGCGGGUCGUUGCACCCUCGGCUUGACGUUGGGUGGCGGUUCUAUUUGAUUUCUGGCUAGCAUACAAAACUAAUUAAGGCCAAGACAAACCAUCCGGGACUGGGAUAAAACUUAUUUAUAGAGGCGGCUAAUUUUAAAAACGGCCGAUGGUGUUUUUGCGCAAUGGGGUGCCUCGGUUCCCAAGACCCCCGAUAAUUCCUCGUUCAAUUAAGAAUUUCUGCAACUCGGAUUAUGCCCCUGUAUCGAUCGGUUAAUUAUAGAAAGUCAUUUCGAAGAAAUUUUACGUUUUUGAAGCAAUCAAACCUUCAGCGAAUUUGUAUCUUCAGGAAGAUAAGUUAAACGCUUUGUAAAAAAUUUAAUCGACGCUCUUGAUCCUAAGUUCAGCGGAAAAAAUAGUUUGAGAAUGUAUGACGUGGUAUGUUUGUGGAAAUUGGUGAAAUUUGAUAGAACGAGAAAUUCUAUGAACACGUUAUAUCAACAUAUUAUUUAAUUGGAUGGAAGAAGUUUGAGAAUGUUUGAAGAAUCUUGUUUGUCGAAGUUGAGUCUUGAAUCAUUGGCCAAAGGGAAAUACGUAGCAUACUCUGGGAAUAGUAACAUUUGAUACAAGCACUUACCACACUUGAAGCACAUCUUGUGCCAUUUGAGUCCUCCGGCGACGCGUUCUUCCGCGGCGUAUACGGAUUUGCCGCAUUUGGGACACUUGGGGUGUUCUACUGGCUUAAAAGGCAUCUUUUCUGUACUGAAAAACAAAGAAAAAUCUUCGAUUAUUAUCAUCUAUUUUAAAAUAUUUCAUUUAUUUAUUUUUUCCAUAUGUUUGCCACUUUUCUAUAAGUGUGAACAUUUUAUUUAUUUUCACAUUUUUCAGAUUAUUUUCCAAAUAAUUAAAGAUCAAAUUUAUCCUAUUGUGUGCUGUGAUGGAAUAUUUUACGAAUCUUUUCGAAGAAGAUCGAAGCAUGAAGAGUGGAAUUGAAACGUGGAGAGUAAGUCUCGUAUUUUUCGUAUAUUUUACAGUGCAUAAACAACGAAUAACAAUAACACCGGUAACUCAGCCACCGAUUACCUAAUCCCGCAAGAGGAACAUAAACAGUUUCAAUCUCCGCCCUACUGCCGGAGAACGAAUCUAUUUUUACCAAGUUCGAAUCGCGACGUGUAUUCUCGGUGGCCAAUACCCGCGAAAGAUACGGACAAAAGAACAAAGACGAAGAAAUUAAGUUUCUUCAGGAAUUUAUCACAAUCGUAACAUACCAUCUUAUGAAAAAUUGGUAUUAACUUGAUCGACAGUGAUAUUGUCGAUUAACAUACUGUAUGUUAACCCAUUGAUAAAAUUAAUCUCAAUUCUUCAUCGAACGAUCUGUAUUCAUAGAAACGGAACGAAGAACGUAAUGGAAUGAUGAAAAUUGCAACAAUCCAUUCUAAGAAAAGGCCACACGGUUCCCUUAAAGUUUCGUUAAUCAUCAUUGAUACAUCGCAAAGAGCUCUUAAUAGAGAUGAUAAUAAAAUUACCCUAGAAUGAGAAUUCGAUGCUUAAAUAUUGUAAGGAAAGAGAUUUUUAAGUGCUAUUUUUUGUCAGUCAAAGAUAAAAUGUCAGGCGAGCUUUGAAAGAUUGGGAAUUUUUAAAUUUCCCGCCACGUGGCUUAACAUAACCUAAAAGAAACAGAGGAGUAAAAGGCUGAGGAGUAAAAUAAACACGAGGACAAAUAAAUCAGUCGUGUGCCAAAUAUCUGAAGUCGUAUCGCAGAGACAAGCUUGCUAUUCGGAAUACAAAGUUGCAAAUGUGGAAGUUUCGACGAUGUGACUUUUGGAAGCGGCUCUGGUGACGAGUAUACUGACCACGGUAUUAGUAGAAACGCUAGAGAGACCACGAGAGAUCAGGAAGAGAGACAGAGGAUUCUAUAUCCGUGCAGACGCAAGCCGGAUCGCGAGGCCGUAUUAGGGAAGGUGCUAGAUUCUCCACAACGCGGUCGCCAUUACCCCUACCUUCGCGUCCAGUUGGUCCUUCCUAACCUAUACGUCGUUUUUCACGUUAUCUAUAUCUACUCUUUCAAUAUUGUCUGAGAUAACAAAAUUAUCUAAUUUGUGACUCGACUGACUGAUGAAAUAUUCCAAUGCCUCUUCGGUAUUUGCAAAUCUUCCUAACCUAUACUUCAUUUUCUUCCAUUUGCCUCGGUACUUUUCCAUCGUAAUCAAGGACGACCAAAUUACUUCAUCGUAAUUCGGCCAACUGAUAAAAACUUUCGUUGAUUUCCUAACCUGUAUUUCAUUUUCUCUCAAUAUCUAAAAUAACAGAAAUAUCUUCUCGUAAUUUCGAUAACCGAUCAGGUUUGAAGGUCUUGUCAAUGUUUCGAUCUUAAAUCAAAAUCUCUGAUUGACGAAGGAAAUAAAUUUUAGAAAUAUUGAAAAGUGAUAAUUGUCGAUCGUAAGAUCUAUGAUGACCCUAACGCGAAUUCGAAAGUCGGAUCUCGUCUCUUCUGGUGAAUUCGAUUUUGAAACUUGGUAACUUAGCUUCCAAGUGUUCUAUCGGGUGAAUCAUCAGGAAAAAGUAACGACUUUGCACGCGGUUGUUUGUACAUACGUAUCUCCGUCUAUGUUACAUCAUAAGAACCGAAGAAUGUCUUCUCCACCCCCGUGUAUACUAAAUCCGGACGAUCUCAAAUUUCAUCGCGUUUUAGCGAACCCGUCACGCGUUUUAACUUUACGGCCCGCGUAAUUCUGCUGUGUGAGACGCGUCUGUCUAAAUGUAGCUUUCCACUCGGACAAGCAUUCUCAUCAAAUUUUCCGAUCCUCUGGCUGAACACCGAAGAUUACGAAAGCCAGAUCGUCCAUCCUCCGAUUCGCUUGAAUUCUUUUAAUGCCAUUCCAAGAAUUCUUUAUAAAAUAUACUUUGAUAGAGAGAGAUGAGAAUCGAAAUGAUACUCGAGCUUUGCCUGAAAAAUUAGUCGCUCAACGACCCUAAGAAGAAAAAUAUGAUAAGAUAAACAAUUUUGUCAAUUUUCUGACUUUUACCUCAUUUGUUUGCCAAAAGAGAAUAUUCUAAUAAUAUUGUCAUUUGCAGAGAAAAAUGGGGUAAACCUACAAACUGCAGCGUAUUCAAAGAGCCAAGGAUAUAUUCUGUCACAUGAAAGAAUUCAAAGAUACUGUUCAAAUUCAAUGCUGUAGGACCUAAUGAUCUAAGGCGACAAAAUAAUCUGCUCGUAGACCAAUUAACCUCUGAAAAUGUUUCCAAUGCUUGCAAGGUACUAAGCUUAUUUUCCACCAAAUGCCAGUGUCUAAAAUAACAAAAUUGAAGUGUUUCGUAGGUCGAGAAACGUAACAAUUUUGCCUCCUGCGAUCUUCACUUUGAAUACCAACAUGAUAGAAGAAGGAUAACUGCAAAAUUCUCACUUCCAAUAUGAUCCUUAUUAUAGAAAGCAACUAGCUACGAGUUGGAAUCUCCAAGUGCAAAAUUAUCCAAAUUCAAUAGAAGAGGGACAUAACUCCAAAGAUCUCACUUCCAAAGAUCCAAAGAUCAAAAACCAACCACUCUCUAACGUUUUCUUGGAAGGAUCCUGAAAAUGGGUGUGUUGUAGGUUGUACGAUGAUGUCUGGAUGGCCGUGGAACACUGUUGCUUGCUCGCUGCGUGUACUCUACUACUCACCACCGGAUGUCGGGUUCGAAGUCACGAAAAUGAAAAUCGGUAAACUCGGGGAGGAAGACAGGCGUGAAAGAUGAAAAAACACCGAGUAGCACUCUACACCGCACUAAUACUGGAUUCGAAUGGCUGUUCUCGCGUCGUGCCCGUCCUAGUCAUAGCCAGACCUUUGCACACGGCACGUGUGCAUCGGAACGUCAGUGCUGUUGACGACAGCGUCGCGGCGGCAAGAGGGAGUUACGCUAGCCGCCUUCCAUCUAGCGGGGGUGUUACACUAUACUUUGGGAUACCGAAACGACCGCUACUCGUUAACUCGCUUUUCUUUUCUUCGCAUCUUAUCUCCUGACUCUCUGUCGCUUGAUUCCACAAGAAUUCCAAGCGAUCAUAUUUAUCUGAAUUUCUAUCUUUAUAGACAUAAUCGGAGGAACAACACGUCAGCUCCUAUUUGUUUUAUUUCCAUGUUUUAUACAAUUUUGCACGUUGCGAGAAUUCUAUGCAGCUUUGCAACUUAUAUGUCACAUAGUUACAAGUUAUAUGGUACAUAACUGUAGCUCCUUUUUGCUAUGGAAUGUUCCACAAAUUAGGAUAAUGAGGUUUGCAAGAAGUUGCGACGAUCAGGACAUGUUUGGAAUUUUAGAAUCCAAGUUACGUGAUAUUUGGUGUGGCUGCUUUGCGUCGUUGAAUAUUUCACAAACUGGAGAUGUUAGUGCGAAUUUUCAGGAAAUUGACGUAAUUAAGAGAUAUGGGAGUUGGUAGAGGAUAUUGGACAUUAGUCUAUUGCUGCUUAUUGCUGUGCAACUUUUGACAAGUUGGGAAUAUUAAUGCCAUCAGUGUCGCUUUUAUCAAUGAGUCGUCAGAAAAUUGGAUGUGAAGUAGUGGAACUCUUGUUUCAUGGCUGCCUCUGUUACCGCCUGAUAAGUAGUCUAAUAGAUCUUAUUCUAUGAUUAUUAAACUAUUAAGAUUAAAUUAGGGCGAAACUUGAUGCUAUACGAAGAAGAACAAUGUAAAACAAUUUUAUAUGAACAAAUAUGAAAGAAACACAAAGGGACAGUAGUACAAGAAAGAUCUUGGAAUAAUCUUGCUCUUUGUACCUGGUGCUCACUAAGAUCAUCGCCUCUAACUAAAAUCUAGAUGGUGUGUAAAAGACGCUGCAAACAUUGAGAUAACAAUCGGCAUACUUCGGAAACGUAAUAUUUACGGCAGGAGAAAGAGAGAUAUUCGCCACGGGAACGUUAGAGAAAUAUACAAUAAGAUGGGCCACGAUUUUGUAACACCGUAGUAACGGCGUGGAUUUUUAGAAAGAAACCGGAACGCAGCGAGAAUAUAUCUAUAAACGAGCCGAGAGAGCAAGGAAAGUCGAAGCCUGUAAGAAAUUUCAGAGAAACCUGAGAACUCUCUACGCGAGAUUUUAUUUCAUGGAACGUGAAAUACAGGCCUUGGAGGAGGUUCAAGGAUCUUUCUCGUUCAAUCUUUAAAUCCACUCUGUUUGUUUUAUUAACGUCUUUAUAAAUAUUCCAAUUUUUAUGUGGCUCAAACUUAAUCAAACAUAAAUUAACACUAUUAUUUAUCAUGUUGUUAGAGUUGGUUCAUUUCACUCUCAUCUAAAUCUGCUCCAUCUUAUUGUUUUUUUUUCUUUCUAAAUAUUCAAGUUUUUACGUGGUCUAAACUCAAUCUCGAUUUUUACUCAAACAUAAUCAAACCUGAAUCAAGCUAUUCGUCGUAAUAUCGUUGGAAUUGUUUAAUAAUAUUUCAAUUUCGUCUACAUCAACUUUUUACUCUUCUACGUUUAUCGUUGAGAAUGUUUUUCAGAUGUUGAAAAUUUGAUAUCAAACCUAAGCCCAAACUAAAUUAAACCAAGCUAUUUGUCAUGAUAUUGUUAGCGUUGGUUUAUUUCAGUUGAUGAUUCGCUAGCUUUUUCAAAAUGCAGCGUUUGAAUCAUGCUUCCAUAUUUUUUUACUUAGCUCAAACUUGAGUUGCUUUACUUCAAACCGUAUCAAACUUCAUCAAACUUAGCUUAACUGUUGAUCGCUAUCUCUUAAAAUUGAUAUACUCUUUUAAUCCGAUUGAAAGUUUGAUGAGUAUAAUUUUGGACGAAAAUUUAGGAGUGUUUGAAUAAGGAGCUAAAAAUUUGUCAAUAGCGGUCUGAAUCAUGUCGAUGACAAUGCGCCACGUAUUUUGGUAUUCGUUUACAUUGUGCUACACAGGAAAAUAUGUUUUCUGAGCGAUGAACCAGCGAGAGAAAUACCAAAAUAAAUUUAUUACUCAUACGUUUUGGACUAAUUCCCGGGCCCUAAUGGCAUUCACGAAUUACAGCAACGCGAUACCAUAAUUUUUAAAUUAACACCAGUCGAAUUGGCAUUCGUUCAAUUUUUAACAAAAUCUUUCCCUCAACUUUUUCCUUCAAAAGGUAACUUUCUCCUCUGUCAUCGUCUCGUUAAUUACAAUUUUUAUUCUCGAAUGAAAACGAAGAAAUCUUUCAGGGAACUAACUACAUAUAUUAAGAGACUAUAAUUCAAAAAAAUCUUAAGGCCAAGAAAUUCCAAUCGAAGGAAGAAAAUCCAACGCACAGUCAGUAUAGGACAACAUGGAAGAACUAACUAACCACUUGGAAAUGAAGAAAAACGACUUUUCAAGAGAAGCUUGAUAACUACACAUUUAUAAAGAAUUUCAAUAUGCAAAAGUAUACAAAGUUCAUAUGCUGUACGAAAAGCAUGCACAAAAUAUCAAAAGCGAAGUAGCUCUCGUAUUAUUUAAAUGAUACAAUGAGUACAAAAUUCUACUUUGCUUCCAUUCCUUUGCACCUGUACGUAAAGAGAUCACAAUUUAAA